UGGAUCCAGACUUUGAUCAUGGCUCAGGACGAACGCUGGCGGCGCGCCUAACACAUGCAAGUCGAACGAGCGAGAGAGAGCUUGCUUUCUCGAGCGAGUGGCGAACGGGUGAGUAACGCGUGAGGAACCUGCCUCAAAGAGGGGGACAACAGUUGGAAACGACUGCUAAUACCGCAUAAGCCCACGGCUCGGCAUCGAGCAGAGGGAAAAGGAGUAAUCCGCUUUGAGAUGGCCUCGCGUCCGAUUAGCUAGUUGGUGAGGUAACGGCCCACCAAGGCGACGAUCGGUAGCCGGACUGAGAGGUUGAACGGCCACAUUGGGACUGAGACACGGCCCAGACUCCUACGGGAGGCAGCAGUGGGGAAUAUUGCACAAUGGGGGAAACCCUGAUGCAGCGACGCCGCGUGGAGGAAGAAGGUCUUCGGAUUGUAAACUCCUGUUGUUGGGGAAGAUAAUGACGGUACCCAACAAGGAAGUGACGGCUAACUACGUGCCAGCAGCCGCGGUAAAACGUAGGUCACAAGCGUUGUCCGGAAUUACUGGGUGUAAAGGGAGCGCAGGCGGGAAGACAAGUUGGAAGUGAAAUCUAUGGGCUCAACCCAUAAACUGCUUUCAAAACUGUUUUUCUUGAGUAGUGCAGAGGUAGGCGGAAUUCCCGGUGUAGCGGUGGAAUGCGUAGAUAUCGGGAGGAACACCAGUGGCGAAGGCGGCCUACUGGGCACCAACUGACGCUGAGGCUCGAAAGUGUGGGUAGCAAACAGGAUUAGAUACCCUGGUAGUCCACACCGUAAACGAUGAUUACUAGGUGUUGGAGGAUUGACCCCUUCAGUGCCGCAGUUAACACAAUAAGUAAUCCACCUGGGGAGUACGACCGCAAGGUUGCAACUCAAAUGAAUUGACGGA
rnacentral:rRNA from 1 species